UACGGAGGGUGCGAGCGUUGUCCGGAAUUACUGGGCGUAAAGAGUUCGUAGGCGGUUUGUCGCGUCGUUCGUGAAAACUCGGGGCUUAACUCCAAGCGUGCGGGCGAUACGGGCAGACUUGAGUACUACAGGGGAGACUGGAAUUCCUGGUGUAGCGGUGAAAUGCGCAGAUAUCAGGAGGAACACCGGUGGCGAAGGCGGGUCUCUGGGCAGUAACUGACGCUGAGGAGCGAAAGCGUGGGGAGCGAACAGG
rnacentral:rRNA from 1 species